AGUGAACGCUGGCGGUAGGCCUAACUCAUGCAAGUCGAACGGCAGCACAGUAAGAGCUUGCUCUUACGGGUGGCGAGUGGCGGACGGGUGAGGAAUACAUCGGAAUCUACUUUUUCGUGGGGGAUAACGUAGGGAAACUUACGCUAAUACCGCAUACGACCUACGGGUGAAGGCAGGGGAUCUUCGGACCUUGCGCGAUUGAAUGAGCCGAUGUCGGAUUAGCUAGUUGGCGGGGUAAAGGCCCACCAAGGCGACGAUCCGUAGCUGGUCUGAGAGGAUGAUCAGCCACACUGGAACUGAGACACGGUCCAGACUCCUACGGGAGGCAGCAGUGGGGAAUAUUGGACAAUGGGCGCAAGCCUGAUCCAGCCAUACCGCGUGGGUGAAGAAGGCCUUCGGGUUGUAAAGCCCUUUUGUUGGGAAAGAAAAGCAGCAGGUUAAUACCCCGCUGUUCUGACGGUACCCAAAGAAUAAGCACCGGCUAACUUCGUG
rnacentral:rRNA from 1 species